UAUCGCAAGGUCAAUGCUAUAUUAUUCUUGCCUGUUUUUCCUUAAGAUGCUACACUAGACUGCAGUUUUUGUUGUCACUACAACGAUGUAUUUUUCGAUUCCAUCUGCUGUCGACACAAUGCACAGAGGGUUCAACAACUGAAUAUUGUUAUGAUAACACAUGUUUAGUUGGUGUGUGCUUUGUCAGAUAAAAUGCAUGUUUCUCAGGAGACAAAGACUGCAGUUAAUUCCGAAGGAGAAUAGCAACCUUUGCUUCUGCUAGGUUCAAUGAGCAUAUGGUAAAGGAAGGUAUCAGUGGAUUCACCAACGUAGAUUACAAGAGUAAAGGUUUAUCUAAUGAGGCCUUGUCGCGGCGCUGCAAGUGUUGCCCCCUCCUCCCCAAGGGCAAGGUGAAGGAAGGUGCCUGUGUGGUUCUUCUGCAGCUCGCAGCGAGGAUUGCUGUGUCCAACCUGCACAAAAAUGCCAAGAAGUCUUUCUCGGAGAUGAUUAAGGACAUGUACCUGCACUACAAUGAGAGAUAUGGGCUUCUUUGUGGCUUCCAAACUUGAAAUGUUUGUUUGGAAGUUAGGUCUAUAACGGGAUCUUGAGGAAAUCGGAUAAUGCAUUUUGGUUGUAUCAACUAUACUGAAUCUGCAAAGCCUUUUUUGUGUGCAGAGAAAUUCACCCUCUGCAUUAGUUGCAAAAGAUGCUGAUUUUGAUCAUAACAAUUAUAGUUGUUCAAGCAGUAGCAGAUUUGGCAACCUCACAGUCAUCUCAUUCAGAAUUCACGUCGUAUCCUCAACGGAGCUUAAGAUGCUGAUUUUGAUCAUAACAAUUAUAGUUGUUCAAGCAGUAGCAGAUUUGGCAACCUCACAGUCAUCUCAUUCAGAAUUCGCGUCCUAUCCUUAACGCCUGAUGUUUAGCGAAAUGGAUGCAUGUGUAGGCUAAAUUCUUGGAAACUGGGGAGACGGUGGCCAUUAAGAAGGUACUG